rnacentral:rRNA from 1 species
CGAGUGGCGCACGGGUGCGUAACACGUAUGCAACCUACCCUUAACAGGGGGAUAGCCCGGAGAAAUCCGGAUUAAUACCCCAUAGUAUUUUCAUUUCGCAUGUUAUGAAGAUUAAAGCUUCGGUGGUUAAGGAUGGGCAUGCGGGACAUUAGUUUGUUGGUGAGGUAACGGCUCACCAAGACUACGAUGUCUAGGGGUUCUGAGAGGAUGAUCCCCCACACUGGUACUGAGAUACGGACCAG